UAAACGACUCUCGGCAACGGAUAUCUCGGCUCUCGCAUCGAUGAAGAACGUAGCGAAAUGCGAUACUUGGUGUGAAUUGCAGAAUCCCGUGAACCAUCGAGUCUUUGAACGCAAGUUGCGCCCGAAGCCUUGGCUGAGGGCACGCCUGCCUGGGUGUCACGCAU
rnacentral:rRNA from 1 species